rnacentral:rRNA from 1 species
GACGAACGCUGGCGGCGUGCCUAAUACAUGCAAGUCGAGCGGACAGACGGGAGCUUGCUCCCUGAUGUUAGCGGCGGACGGGUGAGUAACACGUGGGUAACCUGCCUGUAAGACUGGGAUAACUCCGGGAAACCGGGGCUAAUACCGGAUGGUUGUCUGAACCGCAUGGUUCAGACAUAAAAGGUGGCUUCGGCUACCACUUACAGAUGGACCCGCGGCGCAUUAGCUAGUUGGUGAGGUAACGGCUCACCAAGGCAACGAUGCGUAGCCGACCUGAGAGGGUGAUCGGCCACACUGGGAGUGAGACACGGCCAAGACUCCUGCGGGAGGCAGCAGUAGGGAAUCUUCCGCAAUGGACGAAAGUCUGACGGAGCAACGCCGCGUGAGUGAUGAAGGGUUUCGGAUCGGAAAGCUCUGUUGUUAGGGAAGAACAAGUGCCGUUCAAAUAGGGCGGCACCUUGACGGUACCUAACCAGAAAGCCACGGCUAACUACGUG